UGCAUAUACAUACAUACACACAUACAUACAUACAUACAUACAUACACCAACACACACACACACGUGUGUGUGUGUUUAUUUUUAUUAAAAUGGAAUGAUGUUUGUGUUUUAGUGAAAUUAGAAUUUUAAAAUUCUUGAGGUGGAAUACAAUUUAACAAUGAAAUACCAAAACUUGACCUUUUUAAAAAAUUCUUUCUCUGUCCUCUCAGACAUACAAUCUAAUUUCUGUUUUACAACCCCUGUUUGAACACAAUAUUUACCCCACAAAGACCAUCAUUUGAUUCUUCGUUAUAAUCUAAUGAAUAUAUUUCUAAUUUAAUGAAGGUUUAUAUUUAGUGCUGUGAUAUUUCUGUAUAAAAUAUUUCAGGAGAAUGUUGUGAUAAUAACCAAGCAUGAUACAAAAAAAUGAGGAAAGAAGCAUGAAUUCUUUUAGAACCUGGUUCCACAGUCUAAUGUAUUCACCCCUUUUGCAUCUCCCAGUCAGCUUCUAUUAAUAAAUAAAUUGUCUGUCUGUUUGUCUACAGCAUGUAGAAGCUUAGUAAUGGGUUACCUUGUUUAACCAAGAAUUGCUGUUUUUAACCAAUGGUUAUUGUAUUUAACCAAGGGACAUCAUGAUUAACCAAGGCUUAUUGUAUUUAACCAGAGGUAAUUUUAUUUAACUGAGUGUUAUCAUGUUUAACCAACUGUUAUGUUUUAACCCAUGGUUGUCAUGUUUAAUAAUGAGUUAUCAUGUUUAACCAAAGGCUAUCAUGUUUAAUGAAGGAUUAUCAUGUUUAACCAAGGGUUAUCAUGUUUAAGCAUAAGGGGAAGUAAUACAACCACAGCAACCACAGUCUGGGCUGUGUUUGUGUAGGGUGUGUCUGAAUUUGUUGUGUUAUAAAUAUGCACAGCUGUGCACAUACACAAAACACUAUACAUUAAGGUUAUAUAUAUAUAUAUAUAAUAUAUAUAUAUAUAUAUAUAUAUAUAUAAUAUAAUAUAAAAUCUUAUGUAUGUGUAAAGUGGCAUGCUCAAAACACUCAGCCAUAGAAUGACUAGCGUUUGCUAAUUAAUGAUAAUAAUAAUGAUAAUAAUAGUAAUAAUAAUAAUGGUAGAGCAUGCAAACAGUAAAGGUUGUGCCCAUAUUGGUGCGUUGGGAACAGUAAGCAAAGAUAUAGAUAAAUAAUGGCCAAAGGAGAUUGAAAUAGAAUGCCUGGUAGAGCUCCUACAGAAAGACCACUGAAAACUUGUGGAUACUUAAGAUUACAUGUAGUAACCUGCUAAUCACACAAGUCCUACCAGGAAUAAGACCAAACCUGAGCCAAACCAAAACAAUAAUAAUAUGUGCACACACACACACAUGUGUAUAUUUAAAAUGGGUGUGUGUGUGUGGUGUGAGCAUAUUCUUACACUUAUCUUAAUUUAAGUAUGACAAUGAUCAAAACCAAUGAUUACUUUUCAUUGUUUGUGUUUUGUUAUUGUUAGAGAAUUAUUCUAAAGAACUUUCUAGUUUGCAGUUGUUGAGUUACAGUGCCAACUUAUAUUAAUUAGAGUAAUCAGUGUAAUUAAGUAUUUACACCUUCAUGGCAUUGUAUCGUUGUUGAU